rnacentral:lncRNA from 1 species
CCCGAGCUGCAGACCCUUCUUCCCAGCGCGGCGCGACGGCCCCAAGCGGAUGGGCUGUCUCUGGUGAACACGUCCAACUCCAGAGGCUGUGACUCUGGGGACCUUCGUGACCCCAAGACAGGGUCACACACCCGUGGCAUUUGGUCGCCAAAUUCCAGCCACGAGAGCCGGAGGUCAAGGUUGGCAUGAGCGGAAGCCCAAGGGAUAGACUUGUGGGCCAGAGGCUCUGGCAGCGCAGGAAGCCCAGCCCGUGAGGAGGGGCUACAGAGCUGAGCUGCAAGCAUCCCUUAGAGCCAUGGGUUUCCAGUUGCUCAACUGGACCUAGCAGAGCUGCGGCUUCUAGGACCGUAGCCAUCAGCCUCCUGGAAGCAUCUCCAUAUACACUGAAUAAAAGGAAAUGAAAUUGAAAAACACAGCUCCCUGGUGACACUAGCCAUGUUUCAAGACGCUACUGUAUCAUUGCCAACAUCAUGGAAGGUUCUAUGGGGACGGCCGGGCACUAGAAGACUGUGGAGUCCACCUGGGAGGGGGAUGAGCAGCAUUGGAAAAGACAGUGAACAGGGUCCAGGAGCUAGAAGAGGACACAGUCCCGGCCACCUAGAGCUUGGGGACUGGUACGAUCGAAGGGACGUGAGGUAACUGCAGCCCAUUUGUUCAUUCGUCCAAUCAGCGGAGCUGAGUAAAUGUCACCUGUCUGACCGGUUACAACAUCACCUCGGGAAUCCUUUCGCCAACAGACAAGGACCCCCAUUCAACCGACUGGCUCCAAGCUGAGCCUUGGAGAGGUGGCUGGGGACAGGAGGAAAAGACAGAGCCCCCCACGCAUUGCCAGGAUUUCUCUUUCCGUAUCCCAGCCUCCCUGCUCCCUGGGGCACACAGGUGGAUGGCGGAGGCAGCCAGUGAAGGCACCAACCGAGGGGCAGAACCUCCACAUGCCAUGGGCGCAGGCCAAAUGGAGAGAGUGAUGGAGAGAGGAAGAAACGCUGGGAGACACAACCUCCAAGUCUCAAGUGGAAACGGGGAGAGAGGCGUCAUGGGAGGGAGCAGCUCUCGAAGUCCCAGCUGGCCCCCCCUAGCUUCGCAAGGACAGCGCUACCUCUCCUCAUCUCUAAGACACCAUCCACCACUGUACGGCGCACUUUUCCGUAUCACUCAGAAAGAGAAACCGCUGGCGAUUAAAUUUGCCGACACCAUAUCGUGAGCCUUUUCGGGCACACAGAGUUUGGGGAACUAUAUGAUGGACAGGCACAAGCGCGCCACCCAGCCUCUGCCGCUGACAUGUGGUUCUGUCGCACAUCUGUGCCUCGAGCCAUCCAUCAUUCCACCUUUUUUAAAAAAAAUUAUUAAAUAGUUGAUUGACAAUGCAGUGCCCAUCUUUUUUUCUUUUUUUUGGAUGCAUUUCAAAGUAGCUCGCAGACAUCAUAAUAGUCCCUGGCGUACGUAGCAUUAACUAGAGCUGAAUAUGUGUUCACAGUCCUUUAGUUAGCAGGAAACCUACAAAGAACGCAAAUCUUGAGCAAAAACAUUCACCGAUAUUUGACAAAUGCUUACACCUGUGUAAGCCGCCAAACCCUUUCAAGACACAGAAUCCCAGAAAUUUCCUUCCUCUCCUGUGCCAGGCAACCCCCACCCCCACCCCCACCCCCAGAGAAAACCACUCUUGUGGUUAGUUUUGCCUGUUCUAGAACUUCCUGUAAAUGGACUCGUACAGUCUGUAUUCAACAUGAUACCUUUGAUGUCUUUUGAUAUUCUUUGAUCUUCCGCAUAAGGCCUCUGAGAUCCAGCCAAGUUGUUCUAAGGAUCAGUAAUCCAUUCCUUUUAUCACUGAGUCGUUCCCCAGGGUGUGGGCGUUGCAGGGUUGGUGCCGCCAUUCCUCUGUUGAUUGACACCUGGG